UUGCCUACUGCAUCAUAGCUAUAGGAGCCAAGUGUAUCGAUGUCUGUGCCCCAUCGAGAAACAAGAUACUGAAUCUGUGGGUUCAAGAAACAAGCAAAUUUACUUAGGACUGGGUGAAGUGCAGAAUCUGAAUAACAUGAUCUGUAGCUUUAGAUACAGACAUUAGCGUUAAACACAAAAUUGAAAUUUGACUAUAUCAUACUUGAAUUUAUUAGAUAUUUGAUUAUAAUUCCACAUGAAUAUAUGCUUAAGAGAAAAAACCAACAGACUAUUUGUGAAAGUUUAUAACAAAACUUAGUCUUAUCAUGAUGUAAAAGUUCUUCAACUUAAUAAAACAUCUAUAACUGUUGGUGCAGGGAACUGACACAGACAAACACGGUUUAUAAAUGCUCAAGAGUCCCAUAUGUCAGUUUUUAGGCAGGAGCAUCCUCCAAAAUAUAGAACAAAACAUAUCUUGAAAAUUUUGGCUUACCGGGGCAGAAGCCUCUGGAAGGAUCUUCCUCAGUUGCAUAAAUGCAAAAUUCGCAGCAGCUUCAUCAGACAUUUUCUCAAUGUCUCUGGCCAGCUGCCCAGCAGGCAUAUACACGAGGACAGAAUGACCUGUGGCCUUGUGAAGGUUUAGAAAGUAGCUGC
rnacentral:lncRNA from 1 species